rnacentral:rRNA from 1 species
GUCCACGCUGUAAACGAUGGGAACUAGGAUUGGUGGGAGUUGACCCCUGCCGAUUCGGAGCUAACGCGAUAAGUUCCCCGCCUGGGAAGUACGGUCGCAAGACUAAAACUCAAAGGAAUUGACGGGAGCCCGCACAAGCGGUGGAUUAUGUGGUUUAAUUCGAAGCAACGCGCAGAACCUUACCUGGGUUUGACAUCCUUUGACAUCCGUAGAGAUACGGCUUUUGUAGCAAUACAACAAAGAGACAGGUGCUGCAUGGCUGUCGU